GCCAGUGUGGUAUAGUGGUUUGAGCGUUGGACUAUAACUCUGGAGAUCAGGGUUCAAUUUCCCACUUGGACA
rnacentral:tRNA from 1 species